CCAUUUGAUGGACUGAGAGCUCCAAAUGAGAACACAAACUUAGGCUAAAUAAACUGCUAAGUUGAGAACUUGGAUCGACCAGCUGGCAUAUCUUCCUAAACUACGAAACAAAGAAAGUCUACAAUCUUCAAUGCGAUGGCUUCCCUAAGGAGUUCCAGUUACUCACGCAUUCUCUAAAAUCCUAUAGCAACUCUGCUGUUCAAGGACCCUUUAUAUAACGUCAACAAGAUCUCUAGCGUUUCCUUAUCGUCACCACCACCAUCACCAUCACCAUCUCCAUCACCAUCAAAUGAGAGCCAAUAUGGGAGCAUCAGACUGUAAAUCUCGAUUGUUUCGGAGCAUGUGUUCAAUUUUGAAUGAAUUGACAGGCCAUAUGAAACAACACAUGCUCAUAUUACAUAUUAUCCAGAAAUAUAAAACAGGCUUAAACCCUCAACCAUUUCAGCCCCAUACUCUUAAGACUGGUCCUUUCUCAGGAGCCGUUCACACGCAGUGCCGAUGACGGCCAGCAGAUGGCAGCACCAAGGCUCAGACAGAGCGGAAACCAAGCGGGAGCUCAAGGGGCGUUUGAUGCCCACUGCGAUAUCGUCAGGACACCUGAGAAAGAAAAUCAAGAAGCCAACAACGCCAAGAUUGAUGGAAAUACAUUUUCCUUGUCUCUUCCGCAUAUUAUACUAAGUGGUAAUGUCAAACUGCCAGGACUUUCUGAUGUUUUCUCUCUAAAGGUGAAUAUGCCUGAGUGUGCCCCGAUAGAGAUGCUCACUUAUAAGUAAAAGGAAAGGCAGAGAAAUCGCAAAAUAAGUCAUCACAAGGAUAGUAAACAUUGGAAAAAAUGUUUAACCUCACUAGCAAUCAAAUACGAAAAAGAAAAACCCACCAAGAUGUCAUGAUUCACUAUCAAAUUAUUGCACAUCAAAAUGUAUUAAUAACAAGUCCUACAUGAGAGAAAAUAAAUUGAUCCAACCUUUCUGGAGGGAAUUGGAGCCAGAGACUCAGGAGCUUUGGGUAAAAAUAUCUCAUGCCUUGACUUUAUUACAAAUCGGCCUUGGGACUCUAAAUCCCAAGAAAAAAAAAAAUCUGAAUCCAAAAAUAAUGGACAAGAUUUUCAAUUCAACGGCACGUAACAGCAAAAUGAGGAUGCAUUCUAAAUAUUGCAACAGAAUAGUAACUUAAUUAUAUUUAUAUGACUGUAUAUAUUUAGUCAAUGAAAUAAUGCCCAUACAUACUUUCAGAGCUAAGCAUCUGAAAGGGUAUAGACAAGCUGCCUCUAAAUAAUAGGAUUAAUGAUCGUUUCAUGCUAUUCUUUUGCUCAUCCAUGUUUUUAAGUUUUAUGUCAAACCGCUCAGAGGGAAGAAACCAGUAAAAGAGACUUCAUUUAAAAAAUCAGUUUACUGACAGCAUAGGAGCAAGUAUUUAUAAUAAAGUAUUAAGUGGAUAAAAGGGAGAUACAAAUUCUCUACACAGUCUGGUCUGAACUAUGUGAGACCAUACACUGUACAUAAAAGAGGGAGAUAAAACAAAAGUGGUUCUCACAGCGGGGCUAUGGGUAAUUUUAUUACUUUCUCCACUUUAUGUUUUCUAUAAUGAGCCUACAUUAUAUUUUAUGUCAGAAAAUAAUAAUUGAAAAUUUGAACUGUGAUCCAUAAUAAAAAUUAACUCAAAAUAGAUCAUCCAUACUUAAAUGUAAAACCUAAAAUCAUAAAACUUCUUGAAGGAAACAUAGGAGAAAAUCUUGGCAACCUUGGGUUAGACAAAGAUUACUCAGGACACUAAAAAUACUACCCACACGAGAACCUGGACUUUAUCAAAAUUUAAAACUUCUGCCUUUUGAAAGACACUUAGGAAUAUGAACAGACAAGCCAGGGACUGAAAGGAAAUAAUUUGCAAAGCACAGAUCUGAUAAGGACUUGUAUUCACUUUAUAAAAAGAAUGAUGAAAACUUGAUCAUAAGAAAACCCAAUUUAAAAAAUGGGCAGAAGGUUCGAACAGACUUGUCACCAAAGAGAGUACAUGGAGGGCAACAGCCAGGGAAGAGCUCACGCCCCAGUUAUCAUCUCAAGUCGUUGAGCCACAAUGAAAUACUGCAACCCAUCUAUUAGAAUGGCUAAUUUUUUUUGGAGUCUCGCUCUGUUGCCCAGGCUGGAAUGCAGUGGCACAAUCUCAACACACAGCAAUCUCUGCCUCCCAGGUUCAAGCAGUUCUUCUGCCUCAGCCUCCUGAAUAGCUGGGACUACAGGCACCUGCCGCCAUGCCAGGCUUUUUUUUUUUCUGCAUUUUAAUAGGAGACGGGUUUCACCGUUGCCCAGCUAACCAACGCCAGAUCAGGCAACGCCCGCCUUUGGCCUCCCAAAAUGCCGGACGGCAUACGGUUUACCGCACCCGGCUAAUUUUUAAAACCUGGCAAUACCUGGGCAUUAAUAUGGGAUUUAGAGCAGCUUCUGCCACAUUCUGCUGGUGCAAGUGGCACAGGCACCUUGGAAACCGACUGGCAGCUUUUUAUCGGUAAACAUAAGCUUCCUUAUUACCCACAAAUUUCACUGCUCGGUAUUCACCCAAGAAAAAUGAAAACUUAGGUCCACACUAAACCCAUAUACAAAGGUUUAUAGCACUUAUGUAUGUAGGUAUGUAUGUAUGUAUUUUGAGACCGAGUCUCUCUCUGUCGCCCAGGCUGGAGCUUAACUGGCUGACCUCGCUCACCGCUAAAUUUGCCACUCAGGUCUGGGUUAUCUGCUUUCUGAGCAACGCAGGGCUGUUGCCUGAAUCUAGGUGUGGAUUUUUGGAAACAAGGCCAAUUAGGUCACUAAUUAAUUUCAUUUAGUAGCGCAAGCAGAGGUUCCAAUCAAUCAGAUUUAAAACUUACUUUUAACACAUACCUCUGUUUCAUUAAUUACCAGGGUCCCCAUAUGGCAGCUAUUGAAAAAAUGUGCUCUUUAUCUUGUUACUAUAUCUUAGCGCCUUUGUUGCUGCCCUAAGGAAGAAAGGAAUUCUCCUUUAUCCCCAGUGUCCCAGGAAGGAACUGGGAAGUAGAAUGACAGCAAUAUUGGAAAUUUCCAUCUGAAGUGAUUUGGUACAAUCAAUGGUCCUUCCAGCAUACAGACAACAGAAUAUACAGAGCUCUGUGGAAAGAGUGAAAUGAAUUGCAUUUUUAAGAUGCCAACAUCUGAAAGCCUCUGCUUCCCUAAACUCUGGGUUUCCCUUUUUACUAUGCCCAGUAAUGAUGAGCUGAAGUACAAACUGCCCUCCCAACAAACUUCCAAGCAACUCUAGCACAGUCGCCUGUUGGGGUCCGUGCCGGGGGUGGUGGAGAAUGAAAGAACACACAAAAGACAAAGACACACAGAGAACAUGGCAGCCGCGCUCAGAGCCUCCCAAUAAAAUAAAUACUUUAUUUAUACCCUAUAAACUCCCAUCAGCCAGCAGAAAAGCAAAGAAUGCAAUGCAAAACAAACUUUUUCCGCAUGCAACCCUACCGCCUGUUUCUAUGUUUCCUUAUCUG
ensembl:lncRNA